rnacentral:rRNA from 1 species
CCUACGGGUGGCAGCAGUGGGGAAUAUUGGACAAUGGGGGGAACCCUGAUCCAGCCAUGCCGCGUGUGUGAAGAAGGCCCUCGGGUUGUAAAGCACUUUCAGUGAGGAAGAACGCCUGGUGGUUAAUACCUAUCAGGAAAGACAUCACUCACAGAAGAAGCACCGGCUAACUCCGUGCCAGCAGCCGCGGUAAUACGGAGGGUGCGAGCGUUAAUCGGAAUUACUGGGCGUAAAGCGCGCGUAGGUGGCUUGAUAAGCCGGUUGUGAAAGCCCCGGGCUCAACCUGGGAACGGCAUCCGGAACUGUCAAGCUAGAGUGCAGGAGAGGAAGGUAGAAUUCCCGGUGUAGCGGUGAAAUGCGUAGAGAUCGGGAGGAAUACCAGUGGCGAAGGCGGCCUUCUGGACUGACACUGACACUGAGGUGCGAAAGCGUGGGUAGCAAACAGGAUUAGAUACCCGGGUAGUC